ensembl:lncRNA
GCGUGUUUACAGUAUUAAAAGGGAGGGGGUGGCCUAUCGUCCAGGAGCUCAGCCUACUGUGUUACAUCUGAAAGACCCUAAUACAGUAAAAGUACUCUGAGAAUCACAAAGAGGUCUGCCCUUUCUUUUUAACUUCUGUCCUGAGCUUAACCUAAAAUCCCAAAGAGGUAAGUACUUGACCUAUUCUUACAGCUAGGCAGCAAAUUAUAUAACUCAGGGUGCUGAGUUAUUGGCUUACAGAUCCUUAACUACUCCCCGCACCAGCGAGCUUGUAGUCUGUGGGCUUCACCAGCAGAAAUACAGUUUCAGAGCGAGAGAGUUCAUGCUUGGAAACUCGAAUGCAUCCCUUUUGCACUUCUUGAAGGUGCUGAGGGAAGGGUUUCUCGAAGAGGGCACCAGGAUGGGGACCAGUGGGGAGAGACCCAGGAAGAGCAAGGGUUGUUUAAAAAGAAAAAAAGAGCCAAGGAUUUAGCUCAGUGGCAUCGCACCUGCCUCGAAAGUGCAAGGCCCUUAGUUCGAUCCCCGGUACCACACACACACAGAACAAGAAAGUAUUACACACACACACAAACACACACACACACACACACACACACACACACACGGGAAACAAGGGCUGAGUAGUUGCUUCUGUUAAAUUGGAGAAGUGGAAAUGUACUUGGCAGGAGGAGGCUGCGUGGCUUGCAUUUGGAUCCCCAAAGUCUCAUGCGUUCACAGCGGGGCUGUUCGAGGUGAGUGGACUGCAAACUGCUGCUCCCUAGUACGGGAGCUGGGGCUGGUGACAGGCGGUAGGGAGGUCCUGCCUUCCUGGCUUCUCCCCGCGGUUCCCUGGUUGCCAAGAUGUGAGCACUUUUCUCCCUAGACCCUUCCACCGUACCUUCCUGCGUUGGGCUCAGCCAGCUAUGAACUAAAAGCGUGAGUCAAAAUCAGCCUGUGCUCCUUUAAGUUGCCUGUGUCGGGAGUGACAUGGACAGAGACAGAGAUGAUAGCUGCCCUGCUGCAGGUCAAGGACAGACGGGCAGGCACCAGGCAGAAAGAACAAGUGCCGUGUUGGCCCCUCGUGUUCCCAGUCACCUGUCCCCACUCUGCCUCUGCUGAAAGUGACAGAGCCAGAGCAGGGCUCAGCCCUGCUGCCCUGGCGGGCCCAGCAGCAAGCUGAGAAGACAGAGUCUCUUCAGGAAGAAUUUUACCCUGAGCAAAGCUUCAUGGCCACAUCUGCCCAGAGGUUUACAAAGCACGGAAGAAGUGCACAUUUUGCAGGCUGAAGAAAGCAUGGGGCAGCAGGCAGGUCCUGGUGUUUUGCUGGAUCCCAUCUGAGCCACGAUGCUUAUUUUGUCAUCUUGAAAACCACCAGUAAUAGAGGAGAUUCAAGCAGACGCUGAUUCUCAAUGUCCACCUUUGUCACAGAUGGGAUGCAUGAAUGUCUGUUCUGCAUUUAUGCUCUUACUAUCGGUCACAAUCUGUGUGUGUGAAGUCUUUUGCAGAAACAUCACGGCAACGCAGAAGUUCAAAGAAAAGCUCCAUCAAACUUGAUGGACUGAUGAGACUCUUACUUCUCAGCAAGCUUAAAGCGUUGUAAAAUGUCUUUCGAAGAUCUGGCUCUAAGACAGUGUAACUGUAGGAGAGAAGAUCCUUCAGCUCAUGAGGAAAGUUACUUAGAUGUCCAGGUAGCAGUGACCAAUCUGGGCCAUAAACACCACCAGCUCUGCCAGUCCUCUGCUGGGUUUACUUGGUUGUAACUUGAAAACCUCCACACUGGAUCAGAUGCGUAACUGCAGUGGGUUGCUGGGCAGCUUGUUGUUGUUCCUGCUGGACACAUUGGCCAAAGACCGGCUGUUCGAGGAGCGCUUCCAGAAAGGCUUGCACGCACUGCGGCUGGACUCCAGCUCCUGAGCCUAGCUUGAAACGGCACGUGGGUGCAGCCAGCAGGAAGGGCCGCAUUGACUUCUAAACUGUGUUCGCUUAUUGGCCUCUGUUCAAAACUAGACUGGUGAAAUCUAAAUCUUACAGCCUAUAGAGAUCAACGGUCCUCUUACAAAUGAAAUGCCACAUUGAUCUCUUGAAAGCCUGCCAAAUGUUUACUUACAUGGAAUAGAUAUUAUGGCUUAAUCUUUACUGCAUUUUUUUCCUGAUGAUGUCUGUGGUCUCUGAAGGGUUUUUUGAAACAAGGUCUUGCUGUCUAGUCCAGCAUGGCCUCAAACUCCUUAUGUAGCCCAGGCUGACUCCAACAUGUGGUCCUCCUCCCUCAGCCUCCCAAGAGCCAGGAUUACAAGUGUGCACCACCAUACUCAAGGGCUCUAAUUGUGAAACUAUUUUUAUUGAAAUGAAUAAUGAUUUUCUUGUUUCCAAAGAAACUUUUCCCGAAAGGAAAAGUAGUUAAAUGAUAUUUUAAAUUAGAAGAUGAAAACAAAGAUUGCCGGGAGCAUGUAUUUUCCCUAAUAAGACAUAAAGGCAUAUUCGCAUAGUAGUUAAGGGCAUGAAUUAUGGUGCCAUGCUGCAUAGCUUUAAAUCCCAGAUUUGCUGCUUAUAAACUGUAUGAUCUUAGACAUGUCAUGUAAUUUCUCUAAACUUUAGCUUUUCUUAUCUGUAAAAGGGGACAAAUGGUUCCUGCCUCACAGGGUCAUCAUGAAGCUGGGUGUGGUGCGCACGCACCAGGCAGCGGCACCACUGAACUAAAUCCCCAGAUCACCCUAGUUCUAAUAUUGGCUCUUCUGCCUCUACUUUAGACUAGAUUAUUCCAUGGACAGACAGUUUGAGUUGCCCAAAGAAUCCCUAUUAUUGAGCUAAAGUCUAGCUUAAGAUGAAGGAUUGUUUAACUCUGAAGGACAUUAAGAAUUUUUAAUGUCCUAUAUAAAUCCUUACACUAGGAAAUCAAAGAUAGAUGCUACACCUUGCUUUUAUUCCUACUUGUGGGAUAGCAGAUAAUUUAUUUGUUUUAACAAGCACUUCUGGUGGUGUGUGCCUGUAAUCCCAGCCACUUGAGAGGCUGAGGCAGGAGGAUUACUUGAGCCUAGGGGCUCAGAAGCAGCUGGGCAACACAGUGAGACACCCUGUUUUUUUAAAAAACAAAACAUUUCUAAGGAAAGAUGCUUGUUUGCUGUGUGCAACAACCAGCAGUUGACUAGAACCUGUUACUAAUUUAUUCCCAAACUCCAGCCGAUUUUGGUUAUGCUCCACUGGGCAUUCGUAACCCUGAAGAGCUAGAAUGAAUUGUCCAGGACACUGAGCAGGGGCCACCUGCCUCAUCAGGGAGAGAGCAGCCAACUGGCACCUAGGGCCUGAAUCAGUGGGGAAGGAAACCACAGAGCCCUUCAGGAUCAAUCUUCAUUUUUCUUUGUCGUCCGAGCUACAAAGAGGCACUGAGGCAUUGCAGAAGCAUAAAUCUUUAAAAAUCUGCAGUGUUAGUCACUCUGCCUUAUUAUAACCCCACUGUGCCUGUGCUUUGUAGGAAAGACUAAAAUCUAGCUGGCCCAGCCCCCACCUAGUAAGCUUGUGAACUCUCAUCAUAAAACAUAGGGCAAUCAAAUCCUCUUGUAGGAGAUGAAUGGAGGACGAGAGGAGCCCAUUCGCCUGCGUAGUAAUCAUUCUCUCCAACCUCCAAGGGAUGCAGCAGGGUGGGAAUGUAAGGAAGACAGCCCUUUGUUUGGCUGGGUGCAGCCGCACUCACCCUGUCUGCAAAGGGCCUCUUCAUGGGAGAUCUUUCAAAAUUACAAAAUGCAGGGCUGGGGAUUUAGCUCAGAGGUUUCGCCGCCUGCUGUGCAAGUGCAAGGUCCCAAGUUCGAUCCCUGGUACCAAAAAAAAAAAAAAUUACAAAAUCCACAAUGACAUUAGUCUAGCUUCUGCUUUAAAGUGAAAAAUGUCACAAAGCUAAUAUUAUAUGGUUCUAUAAAGAAAAACAUACAUGAGCUCUGUUUCAAGGGCCUGUAAAGUCCCCUCUCCAUUAUUUCCAUUUUGUUUUAUUUAUUUGUUUAUUUAUUUUUUGGUACUGGGAUCGAUCUUGGGACCUUGCGCUUGCGAGGCAGGUGGCAGAACCACUGAGCUAAAUCCCCGCCCCUGUUAUUUCUAUUUUAAAUUACUAUGUAUACUCCAUUUGAUUUUAAGGGAAAAAUAUGCUCUUACAAGCUAGAUGUUUUUCAGGAAUUUGGAGAUGUCUGAUGAGAUGGUAAUAAAAUAACAGCUGAAAGCAAUGAGAAACGCUCAUACAUAGCAAUUUUCCCAGCUGUUUUUGCUCUUUUCUCUUUUAUACCCAGGCGAUUUCUGGCUUUUUCUUCAGCACUGAUUCGAAAUCAAUACUCCAGGAGAUCUGGCUUCUGUUGUCCUAAAGGAAAUCCCUUCUCGCCAGGGUGAACCUAGCGUAGCUGGCGCACCAUGGUCUCUGCUGCAGCAGAAGGUGCCAGAGCCUUCUGGGACAUUUUUCUGAUAAUUCCAUAAAUCCCUGACCCGAUGGGUUUUAAAAAUUGAGGUGAUAUUUACAUAAUAUAUCAGUCAUUUUUAAGUGAAUGAUUCAGGACAUUUGGUAUAUUUACAGUGUUGUACAGCGCCUCCAUCUCAUUCCAAAACAUGGCCUUCACUCCAAAAUAAAACCCCACACCCACUGAAUAGUCAGUCACUCCCCACCCCUGGCAGCCCCCAGUCUGCGUUCUGUCCCAGUGGACUUUGGAA